GACAGAGGUCCCGAGCGUUAGGCGGAAUCACUGGGCUUAAAGCGUGUGUAGGCGGACUUCUAAGUACCUUGUGAAAUCCCACGGCUCAACCGUGGAACUGCUUGGUAUACUGGUUGUCUUGGGCCAUCUAGGGGCGAGCGGAACAAACGGUGGAGGCGGUGAAAUGCGUAGAUAUCGUUUGGAACGCCAAUGGUGAAAACAGCUCGCUGGGGAUGGUGCCGACGCUGAGACACGAAAGCCAGGGGAGCGAACGGG
rnacentral:rRNA from 1 species